CCUCCUGAAUGAUCGAGAUACAAAAGAAGCACUUGAAGACAAUAAAGUCAUUGCGGAGAAACUAAAUGAAUUCUUUGCUUCAGUCUUCACGGCUGAGGAU